AGAGUUUGAUCAUGGCUCAGAACGAACGCUGGCGGCAUGCCUAACACAUGCAAGUCGAACGAGCUCUUCGGAGCUAGUGGCGCACGGGUGCGUAACGCGUGGGAAUCUGCCCUUGGGUUCGGGAUAACAGUUGGAAACGACUGCUAAUACCGGAUGAUGACUUCGGUCCAAAGAUUUAUCGCCCAGGGAUGAGCCCGCGUCGGAUUAGCUAGUUGGUGGGGUAAAAGCCUACCAAGGCAACGAUCCGUAGCUGGUCUGAGAGGAUGAUCAGCCACACUGGGACUGAGACACGGCCCAGACUCCUACGGGAGGCAGCAGUGGGGAAUAUUGGACAAUGGGCGAAAGCCUGAUCCAGCAAUGCCGCGUGAGUGAUGAAGGCCUUAGGGUUGUAAAGCUCUUUUACCCGGGAUGAUAAUGACAGUACCGGGAGAAUAAGCCCCGGCUAACUCCGUGCCAGCAGCCGCGGUAAUAC
rnacentral:rRNA from 1 species